rnacentral:sRNA from 1 species
ACCACCAAGUUAAGUUACUUUUUGCCUUUUUUUUUUUUGUGAGGGAACUCCAUUUCUGAAUAACUUUGAACCUCCUUACUUAUCCUUUCACUGGCUCAAAGUUUGAAAACCCGCUGAAAAAGCCCAGCCCGGAUUCAUGGCCCCACCUGUUUUCAAACGCUUUGUUUUAUUAUUGAACAAAUAAGAAGAACAAAAAAAAAAAAAAAAAGAAGUGCAGAUUGAUUGUAUCCAGAUAGAAAGACGUGUUUUCUCUAUUCUUCAUCCUUCUUCCGUUGCACGGUUCGGCGCCUGGGUUCGUUCUGGCGCCCUGUUCGCUAAUAUACAUU